GGGUUGUGAGGUUAAGCGACUAAGCGUACACGGUGGAUGCCCUGGCAGUCAGAGGCGAUGAAGGACGUGCUAAUCUGCGAUAAGCGUCGGUAAGGUGAUAUGAACCGUUAUAACCGGCGAUUUCCGAAUGGGGAAACCCAGUGUGAUUCGUCACACUAUCAUUAACUGAAUCCAUAGGUUAAUGAGGCGAACCGGGGGAACUGAAACAUCUAAGUACCCCGAGGAAAAGAAAUCAACCGAGAUUCCCCCAGUAGCGGCGAGCGAACGGGGAGCAGCCCAGAGCCUGAAUCAGUGUGUGUGUUAGUGGAAGCGUCUGGAAAGGCGCGCGAUACAGGGUGACAGCCCCGUACACAAAAAUGCACAUACUGUGAGCUCGAUGAGUAGGGCGGGACACGUGGUAUCCUGUCUGAAUAUGGGGGGACCAUCCUCCAAGGCUAAAUACUCCUGACUGACCGAUAGUGAACCAGUACCGUGAGGGAAAGGCGAAAAGAACCCCGGCGAGGGGAGUGAAAAAGAACCUGAAACCGUGUACGUACAAGCAGUGGGAGCACAGAGCAAUCUGUGUGACUGCGUACCUUUUGUAUAAUGGGUCAGCGACUUAUAUUCUGUAGCAAGGUUAACCGAAUAGGGGAGCCGAAGGGAAACCGAGUCUUAACUGGGCGUUAAGUUGCAGGGUAUAGACCCGAAACCCGGUGAUCUAGCCAUGGGCAGGUUGAAGGUUGGGUAACACUAACUGGAGGACCGAACCGACUAAUGUUGAAAAAUUAGCGGAUGACUUGUGGCUGGGGGUGAAAGGCCAAUCAAACCGGGAGAUAGCUGGUUCUCCCCGAAAGCUAUUUAGGUAGCGCCUCGUGAAUUCAUCUCCGGGGGUAGAGCACUGUUUCGGCAAGGGGGUCAUCCCGACUUACCAACCCGAUGCAAACUGCGAAUACCGGAGAAUGUUAUCACGGGAGACACACGGCGGGUGCUAACGUCCGUCGUGAAGAGGGAAACAACCCAGACCGCCAGCUAAGGUCCCAAAGUCAUGGUUAAGUGGGAAACGAUGUGGGAAGGCCCAGACAGCCAGGAUGUUGGCUUAGAAGCAGCCAUCAUUUAAAGAAAGCGUAAUAGCUCACUGGUCGAGUCGGCCUGCGCGGAAGAUGUAACGGGGCUAAACCAUGCACCGAAGCUGCGGCAGCGACGCUUAUGCGUUGUUGGGUAGGGGAGCGUUCUGUAAGCCUGUGAAGGUGUGCUGUGAGGCAUGCUGGAGGUAUCAGAAGUGCGAAUGCUGACAUAAGUAACGAUAAAGCGGGUGAAAAGCCCGCUCGCCGGAAGACCAAGGGUUCCUGUCCAACGUUAAUCGGGGCAGGGUGAGUCGACCCCUAAGGCGAGGCCGAAAGGCGUAGUCGAUGGGAAACAGGUUAAUAUUCCUGUACUUGGUGUUACUGCGAAGGGGGGACGGAGAAGGCUAUGUUGGCCGGGCGACGGUUGUCCCGGUUUAAGCGUGUAGGCUGGUUUUCCAGGCAAAUCCGGAAAAUCAAGGCUGAGGCGUGAUGACGAGGCACUACGGUGCUGAAGCAACAAAUGCCCUGCUUCCAGGAAAAGCCUCUAAGCAUCAGGUAACAUCAAAUCGUACCCCAAACCGACACAGGUGGUCAGGUAGAGAAUACCAAGGCGCUUGAGAGAACUCGGGUGAAGGAACUAGGCAAAAUGGUGCCGUAACUUCGGGAGAAGGCACGCUGAUAUGUAGGUGAAGUCCCUCGCGGAUGGAGCUGAAAUCAGUCGAAGAUACCAGCUGGCUGCAACUGUUUAUUAAAAACACAGCACUGUGCAAACACGAAAGUGGACGUAUACGGUGUGACGCCUGCCCGGUGCCGGAAGGUUAAUUGAUGGGGUUAGCGCAAGCGAAGCUCUUGAUCGAAGCCCCGGUAAACGGCGGCCGUAACUAUAACGGUCCUAAGGUAGCGAAAUUCCUUGUCGGGUAAGUUCCGACCUGCACGAAUGGCGUAAUGAUGGCCAGGCUGUCUCCACCCGAGACUCAGUGAAAUUGAACUCGCUGUGAAGAUGCAGUGUACCCGCGGCAAGACGGAAAGACCCCGUGAACCUUUACUAUAGCUUGACACUGAACAUUGAGCCUUGAUGUGUAGGAUAGGUGGGAGGCUUUGAAGUGUGGACGCCAGUCUGCAUGGAGCCGACCUUGAAAUACCACCCUUUAAUGUUUGAUGUUCUAACGUUGACCCGUAAUCCGGGUUGCGGACAGUGUCUGGUGGGUAGUUUGACUGGGGCGGUCUCCUCCUAAAGAGUAACGGAGGAGCACGAAGGUUGGCUAAUCCUGGUCGGACAUCAGGAGGUUAGUGCAAUGGCAUAAGCCAGCUUGACUGCGAGCGUGACGGCGCGAGCAGGUGCGAAAGCAGGUCAUAGUGAUCCGGUGGUUCUGAAUGGAAGGGCCAUCGCUCAACGGAUAAAAGGUACUCCGGGGAUAACAGGCUGAUACCGCCCAAGAGUUCAUAUCGACGGCGGUGUUUGGCACCUCGAUGUCGGCUCAUCACAUCCUGGGGCUGAAGUAGGUCCCAAGGGUAUGGCUGUUCGCCAUUUAAAGUGGUACGCGAGCUGGGUUUAGAACGUCGUGAGACAGUUCGGUCCCUAUCUGCCGUGGGCGCUGGAGAACUGAGGGGGGCUGCUCCUAGUACGAGAGGACCGGAGUGGACGCAUCACUGGUGUUCGGGUUGUCAUGCCAAUGGCACUGCCCGGUAGCUAAAUGCGGAAGAGAUAAGUGCUGAAAGCAUCUAAGCACGAAACUUGCCCCGAGAUGAGUUCUCCCUGAC
rnacentral:rRNA from 1 species